ACGGAGACUCAUGUACCUACCUGCGGGUGUCGCUGUUGGACAGUGUUAUUCCUGCUUCCUGUUUGCAGUGCUGGUUUGUGAUCGUAGCUCCGUGUAGCUUUUUUUUUCUGUAAAAUCUCUAUCACUCUCCGUUGUUUAAAGUGAUAA